AAGGGCCUUUGGCUGAAGGAGCGUCGCGUGCCACCAGAAGUCUUAGGAACCAUGUAUUCUGAAUACUGCAGUCUAAUUAACCGAAUGUAUGACGCAUAUCUUAAUAGCACACAUCUACAGAGAGCGCCCUACAUAAAACCUUUGAUAAGUGUUUUUAUGAAACGUAUGUACGAGUUACGUAAUGAAUUAGUACAUUUAAUAGUGAAUGAUUAUAUUUACGUUGAUGAUGGCUUAAUACAGACCAGAAGAACUCCAUUCGAUAUUCAGAUAAUAAUACCAUAUCACUUACCUUUGGAAUGCAGAGACGACUCUAUGGAACACCUCUUGCAAAAGAUGUGGGCUGAUUCCAUUUCAAGGAAAAAUGCUCCACCA